UACGUAGGUGGCAAGCGUUAUCCGGAAUUAUUGGGCGUAAAGCGCGCGUAGGCGGUUUUUAUGAUGAUGUGAAAGAACCCCACGGCUCAACCGUGGAGGGUCAUUGGAAACUGGAAAACUUGAGUGCAGAAGAGGAAAGUGGAAUUCCAUGUGUAGCGGUGAAAUGCGCAGAGAUAUGGAGGAACACCAGUGGCGAAGGCGACUUUCUGGUCUGUAACUGACGCUGAUGUGCGAAAGCGUGGGGAUCAAACAGGAUUAGAUACCCGCGUAGUCC
rnacentral:rRNA from 1 species